rnacentral:rRNA from 1 species
GAUGAACGCUGGCGGCAUGCCUAAUACAUGCAAGUCGUACGGAUACUUUCAAGUAUCAGUGGCGAACGGGUGAGUAACACGUGGACAACCUGCCUGUGUCCGGGGGAUACUCUUUGGAAACGAAGUUUAAUACCCCAUAUUUCCUCGAUUGGCAUCUUUCCUGGAUAAAAGAGGCUUUUGGCCUUAGACACAGAUGGGUCCGCGGUGCAUUAGUUUGUUGGUGAGGUAACGGCUCACCAAGACUUCGAUGCAUAGCCGGCCUGAGAGGGCGAUCGGCCACACUGGGACUGAGACACGGCCCAGACUCCUGCGGGAGGCAGCAGUAGGGAAUUUUCGUCAAUGGGCGCAAGCCUGAACGAGCAAUGCCGCGUGAGCGAUGAAGGUCUUCGGAUCGUAAAGCUCUGUUGCGAGGGAAAAACAGUCAGUUUAGGAAAUGAUUCUGACUUGAUGGUGCCUCGCCAGAAAGUCACGGCUAACUACGUGCCAGCCGCCGCCGUAAUAC